rnacentral:misc_RNA from 1 species
GGCCUCUUCUUCCUCCCUCUCUCCCAGCCCCCGACCCACACUCACCCCUCUUCGCGUGUGUGCUGCUGUUCGCGCAGAGCCUCAAGCUGGAGUGGUCAACUUUUCGUUGUUGCUGGAGGGGGCAACCUUGAUCUUCACACGAUAGCAGCAGCCGUGUUGGUGUCGGCACCUCAUCUUCGUGCACACACACAACAACUGCCAUCAUCAGCUCGUUGAUCCCCCUCCAAAAAAAAUCCCCUCUCUUUGUUUAGAGUACAAGUCCCACACAUCCACAGAAGUUAGAAAGGGAACAGCGACAGAGAGACCCACACGAUCGCAGAAAGAGGGGCAGAGAGAGAGCGCGCACGCAUAACGAGCAGACUCGCGCCUCGCCUCCACUCCCCCCCCUCCUCCCUCACUCCUCAUCGCGCUCCCGCAUACACAUAUAUAUAUAUAUAUCAUCACACGUCGAUACCGAACGCCUAUUACGCACACGCAUACACACGCGCGCGCAUAUCCCAAGCUUAUACGCCCCGUACGGUUGGUGUGCGGCUCUAUUAUUAUUAGCACUAUUCGCUCCCAUCCACCUCCUUCCCUCCUUUCGUUUUUCUCGCCGCUCGAUCCACCACCACCACCACCAAGAAAACGCUUGCCAUCAGGCCCUUGCGUCGAUAUCAUGAGCAGCCGUAUCUGUGUAGCGGUGCGCAAGCGUCCCAUCGCGGACCCGGAGCUGGACAUCGUCGAGACGCCAACGCCGCGGUGCAUCGUGAAUGAGCCGAAGAUAAAGUACGACCUCUCACCCUACACGGACCGGCACACCUUUACUUUCGAUGAGGUGUUCGGGGAGACCUGCAACAACGCCGGCGUGUACCAGCGUUGCUGUCUGCCACUCAUCGAUACCGUAUUCAACUACGGUAAUGCCACGUGCUUUGCCUACGGGCAAACCGGAUCGGGCAAGACGUACACCAUGCUGGGUUCGCAGAAAGAGCCAGGGCUGUAUGCCAUUGCGGCGCGUGAGAUCUUCGCACGCGCCAACGACAUCGACGCCGUCGUCUACGUCUCUUUCUACGAAAUCUACGGCCGGAAAAUAUUUGAUCUCCUGAACAACCGAAAGCGCCUUUUCGCUCGCGAGGAUGCGGACAAGGUGAUCAACAUUUGCGGGCUGAGCGAGCAUCAGGUGACGGACAUCCAGGAGAUCUUCGACGUGAUUACAGCGGGCAGUGCAUACCGUGCGGCGGGUCAGACAAGCGCCAACGCCGAAAGUAGCCGCUCCCACGCCGUGCUGCAGGUGGAGGUGCGAGAAACGCGGAGCGCCAACGCACGGCGUGCGCCCAAGACGAUUGGUCGUAUUUCCUUCAUCGACUUGGCGGGUAACGAGCGCGGCGCCGACACGUUCGACUGCGACCGCAAGACGCGAAUGGAGGGUGCGGAGAUCAACAAGUCUCUCCUGGCUCUGAAAGAGUGCAUUCGGGCCCUCGGGAUGGGCAAGAGUCACGUUCCAUUUCGGGGGUCUAUCUUGACCGAGGUGCUGCGAGACUCCUUCACCGGCAACAGCCGCACCACCAUGAUCUCCACCAUUUCGCCGUCCUCGCAGCACUGUGUGAACACGCUCAACACGUUGCGCUACACCCAGCGGGUGAAGGACCUUGGCGGCGGCGGCAUCGGUGGUGGUGCAAAAAUUGAGCAAGUGGCCGGCAGCCCGCCAGGUCGCCGGCCCGCUGCACCGCGCCGAAAGCCCUUCGAGGCGAUUCCUGCGAAGAACCGCCCGGAAUGGGUGUCAGACUUCGCCUCCGACCCAUCACCUGACGUGUCCCCGUCCGAGAAUGGCGGCUACGGCGGCGAGAGUGACGGGGUCGCGGCAGGUGCGGCGCCGAGAAACGCCGCCAAGCCUCGCGGUCGGCAGCCGUCGGUAGGCCGUAGCGGCGGUACGCCCCCGCCGGCCGCAGCCGUGGUGAAGGUGAAAGACCCGAAAAUCGCGACGAUUGUGCAGAACCACAUCGCCGCCCUGGAGUCCGACGACGACGACGACGACAUCGACGAUGACUGCUGCCACUACCCGCGCGCCGCGGAAGGCGGCGGCGUGAUGCAGCGGGAGGAAGAGCGGCAGGUGCGCAAAGUGCACGCCUACGUUGUCGAGGAGAUUGCAAAGGCGGAGGAUAAGCUCAUUGCGCUGCACCGCCGGCACAUCGACUCCAAGAUGACCGGCAUCAAGGAGGAGAUCACGGCGAUCCAGUCUUUUGAGGAAUCCGACUCGGUCGACGAGUACGUGGCGCGGGUUCGGGUACUGCUGAUGAAGCAGCGAGACGACAUGAACGAGAUCUUGGCGAUGCUGAACGGCAUCGGGUCGAUGCUGCGCGAUGAGGAGGACCUCUCCAAGACGCUCACUUCAAGCGUAAGUGCACGGCGAUGAUGAUGGGAUUGGGGAGGUAAGCACCGGAGAGCGAGAAGAUAUGGAGGAGGGCUAACAGCGGAGGAAGGGGAGCACAACAAGCAUAAAAGGCAAAACCGACGUGGUAUACGUACCCUCGUCUUUGUUUCACUUUUCUUUCGCCCGACUGAGGUCGCGUGCUUGGUUCUAGCGUGGCGCUUUUCGUUCUUGAUGUAUCUUACAGCAGUGCACACGCGCGCACUCACACCGUCACACCGUCGCAGGCCAAACAAAGAGUAACAGGAGGGCAACCUUCACAUGCGCGCACAGAGAGACACACCUUCAUACAUUGGCCCAAGAUGAUGGAUCCUCUGCACCCUUGUCUGCAUCGCUCGCUUUUCUUUUAUCGUGAGGGAAGGAGGAAGAGGAGGUUAGUUUUGGUGUUCUCCCGGUGUAGCACGGCAAUUGCCUUGUCCCCCUCCUCCCUCUCUGUGCCUGCCUGUGUGGGUGUGUGUCUCACUCUCAUUGGCCACCAACACAUACCCGCGCGUGGUCCACAGGUAACCGGCACUUCAAACAGCGUCUCGCUUGCGUUUUAUUUUUGUUAUGUUUUCACUAUUACACCCCCCUCCCCGCCCACGACCGUUCAUCGUACUCCCUCUCGCCUACCGUGCACCGUGAUCCACGCCUCCCUCCCUAGCUUCUUCCCUCCCUUUCGCUCUCAGAUGGUCUUGGGGGAGGGGUGUCAAGCGCCUGCAGAGGAAGGGAGAGAGAGAGAGAGACGGCGAAAUCGGUACGCGGCGCGCUCCUCUUCCUUUCUUACGUGGCUUCCUCAGCUAUUUCUUACUUGUUGGUGUAGUGCUGGAGGUCGAGGGGUAGGGGCAGGGGAGGCGUGAUUCGCCGGUAUGCGCACCCCAACGUUGAUGAGCGCGGGUGUGUGUGCGAUGGAUCGUGCAUGUGUGUUUAUAUGUAUGGUUGCAGUGCGGCGUGUGUGUAUGGGCGGUGUGGGGUGCGUGAAGUGGGCGGGUGCGGUAUGUGCGGUGCACUUGCGCGCCCCCUCCUGCCCUCCCCUCCCCCACCCAACCCCAUAAACACACCGCCAUGCUGCCAUGUAAAACACCGCAGCCCAGGCAACGACGUGGAUAAUGGCAGAAAC